CCCAUUGACACAUUUUUUUUCAUUGUGUUGAUGGUCUUUACCAUUUGGUAUGUUUUUGGAGUGGCUGGUACUUGCAGUUUCAUAUGAUUAAACCUAAUACAGAAAUCAGUCACAUUCCUGUCUACCAGCAGUAAUCAUUUAGUAAAUGCAUACUUUUUUAAAGGUCCUAUUCACAGUAGCCACAAAAAAAGUAUCCAGGAAAUAGCUAAAUAAGAAAUGUAUAUCUUGGGGAGGAACAUAAUCAAAAGACCUGAAUAAACAGAGAGAUACCAUGUUCAUGGAUGGGAAGGCUCCAUAUCAUAAAGAGGUAAUUUUCCCUAAAUAAGUUUAUAAAUUUGAUAAAUGCUAAUAAAAAUUUCAAAUGAUUAAGGGUGAGUCAAAUAGGCCAAUAGAAGAGACUAGGGGGAAAAAUCCAGAUAUAUUGACAACCUAAGUGUAAACUUCAAAACUUUUACAAGAAACUGUUGGCAAAUAUCUUCAUUGCCUUAGCAUAAGAAAAGAUUUCAUAAACAAAAGAUGAAAUUAUAAGAUGCAUCAUAUGGCUGCCUGCCAUGCCAUUUCUAGAGCUGGACAUGAAUUUGCUUGCAAACUGAGUGCCCAUGGGGCUGGAGAAAUGGCUCUGCAAUGCCACUGCCUCCAUCCUGGGCAAACCUGCGGACCACAUGAACGUGACUGUCUGGCUGGGCCUGGCCCUGGCGCUGAGUGGGUUUCACUGAGCCCUGUGCACAGCCGUCCAUCUCCUCCAUUGGCAUAGUGGGCGCCUCCGAGGACCACCGCAACCACAGCGCCCACUUCUUUGAGUUUCUCACCAAGGGGCUAGCUCCAGAGCAGGACAGGAUAAUUAUCUGCUUUUUACCCCUGGAGCCCUGGCAGAUUGGCAAGAAAGGGACAGUCAUGACAUUUUUAUGAUUGGCACAGAGGGAUCCAGGGCAUCUGUGAGCUGGCUACCUCUUCCAGGAAUACCUCUUUGCAGAGUGAGGGCCUGGUGAUACCAGCUUCAGAUAAUCCUGCAUGCAACAUUCCUGUGAUCACAUAAUCCUCUUCUUCAUCCUCAUACAAAAUAAAUGAAGAGAGCUUCCUCAUUCAAAAAAAAAAAAAAAA